GAUGAAGAACGUAGCGAAAUGCGAUAAGUAAUGUGAAUUGCAGAAUUCAGUGAAUCAUCGAAUCUUUGAACGCACAUUGCGCCCGCCAGUAUUCUGGCGGGCAUGCCUGUUCGAGCGUCAUUUCAACCCUCAGGCCCCCAGUGCCUGGUGUUGGGGAUCGGCCCAGCCUUCCUGUAAGGCCGCCGGCCCCGAAAUCUAGUGGCGGUCUCGCUGUAGUCCUCCUCUGCGUAGUAGCACAACCUCGCAGUUGGAACGCGGCGGUGGCCAUGCCGUUAAACACCCCACUUCUGAAAGUUGACCUCGGAUCAGGUAGGACUACCCGCUGAACUUAAGCAUAUCAAUAAGCGGAGGA
rnacentral:misc_RNA from 1 species